rnacentral:rRNA from 1 species
UUGGGAAUCUUAACGAAACCUAAUGGCAUAAUUAACUUAACUGUUUAAAUGGGAUUAGUUUUUAGAUUUAAAUUUUAUUUAGUCUAUUAAUUCAAUCCCGGGGCGUUCUAUACAGUUAUGUAUAAUAAUAUUUUAUAUUAUUUAUACCUCUAACUAGAGCGUACCUUGAGCAUAUAUGCUGUGACCCGAAAGAUGGUGAACUAUACUUGAUCAGGUUGAAGUCAGGGGAAACCCUGAUGGAAGACCGAAACAGUUCUGACGUGCAAAUCGAUUGUCAGAAUUGAGUAUAGGGGCGAAAGACCAAUCGAACCAUCUAGUAGCUGGUUCCCUCCGAAGUUUCCCUCAGGAUAGCUGGUGCAUUUAUAUGUUAUGUAAAAUAAUCUUAUCUGGUAAAGCGAAUGAUUAGAGGCCUUAGGGUCGAAACGACCUUAACCUAUUCUCAAACUUUAAAUGGGUAAGAACCUCACCUUUCUUGAUAUGAAGGUUGUGGUUGUGAUAUAAUGUGCCCAGUGGGCCACUUUUGGUAAGCAGAACUGGCGCUGUGGGAUGAACCAAACGUAAUGUUACGGUGCCCAAAUUUACAACUCAUACAGAUACCAUGAAAGGCGUUGGUUGCUUAAAACAGCAGGACGGUGGACAUGGAAGUCGUAAUCCGCUAAGGAGUGUGUAACAACUCACCUGCCGAAGCAACUAGCCCUUAAAAUGGAUGGCGCUUAAGUUGUAUACCUAUACAUUACCGCUAAAGUAAACGAUUUAUAUUUUAUAAAUAUAAAUUAUGAAACUUUAGUGAGUAGGAGGGUACAAUGGUGUGCUUUGAAGUGUUUGGCGUAAGCCUGCAUGGAGCCGCCAUUGGUACAGAUCUUGGUGGUAGUAGCAAAUAAUCGAAUGAGAUCUUGGAGGACUGAAGUGGAGAAGGGUUUCGUGUGAACAGUGGUUGAUCACGAGUUAGUCGGUCCUAAGUUCAAGGUGAAAGCCGAAAAUUUUCAAGUUAUAAUUAAAAAAUGAUUAUUAAAAACAAUCAAAUAAUUAAUUAAUAAAACACUUGAUUAUUUUUGAACGAAAGGGAAUACGGUUCCAAUUCCGUAACCUGUUGAGUAUCCGUUUGUUAUUAAAAAUGGGCCUUGUGCUCAUCCUGGCAACAGGAACGACCAUAAAGAAGCCGUCGAGAGAUAUCGGAAGAGUUUUCUUUUCUGUUUUAUAAUCGUACUACCAUGGAAGUCUUUCGAAGAGAGAUAUGGUAGAUGGAUUAGAAGAGCAUGACAUUUACUGUUGUGUCGAUAUUUUCUCCUCGGACCUUGAAAAUUUAUGGUGGGGUCACGCAAACUUCUCAACAGGCCGUACCGAUAUCCGCAGCUGGUCUCCAAGGUGAAGAGUCUCUAGUCGAUAGAAUAAUGUAGGUAAGGGAAGUCGGCAAAUUAGAUCCGUAACUUCGGGAUAAGGAUUGGCUCUGAAGAUUGAGAUAAUCGGGCUUGAUUGGGAAGCAAUAACAUGGUUUAUGUGCUCGUUCUGGGUAAAUAGAGAUUUUCGGAUCUUGUUCCCCGGAUAGUAGUUACGUAGCCAAUUGUGGAACUUUCUUGCUAAAAUUAUAUAAGAUUAUAUCGCAAGGUAUAUAUAUUAUAUUAAUUAUAACGAUUAUCAAUUAACAAUCAAUUCAGAACUGGCACGGACUUGGGGAAUCCGACUGUCUAAUUAAAACAAAGCAUUGUGAUGGCCCUAACGGGUGUUGACACAAUGUGAUUUCUGCCCAGUGCUCUGAAUGUCAAAGUGAAGAAGUUCAAGUAAGCGCGGGUCAACGGCGGGAGUAACUAUGACUCUCUUAAGGUAGCCAAAUGCCUCGUCAUCUAAUUAGUGACGCGCAUGAAUGGAUUAAUGAGAUUCCUACUGUCCCUAUCUACUAUCUAGCGAAACCACAGCCAAGGGAACGGGCUUGGAAAAAUUAGCGGGGAAAGAAGACCCUAUUGAGCUUGACUCUAAUCUGGCAGUGUAAGGAGACAUAAGAGGUGUAGCAUAAGUGGGAGAUAGUAAUUUCGGUUAUUAUCGACAAUGAAAUACCACUACUCUUUCUGUUUCCUUACUUACUUGAUUAAGUGGAACGUGUAUCAUUGCCUAGCCAUUAUACGGAUAUAUUUAUAUGUCUUAUGGUAUUGGGUCUUGAUGCAAGCUUCUUGAUCAAAGUACUAAGAGUUUGUUAUAUAAUUGUAAACAAAUUAUUGAUGAUAUAAUGGCAUUUCGGUGUUAUUAUUAGUUAAAAUUUGGUAUAGCUCCUAAUACUCAGGUAUGAUCCAAUUCAAGGACAUUGCCAGGUAGGGAGUUUGACUGGGGCGGUACAUCUCUCAAAUAAUAACGGAGGUGUCCCAAGGCCAGCUCAGUGCGGACAGAAACCACACAUAGAGCAAAAGGGCAAAAGCUGACUUGAUCUAGAUGUUCAGUACACAUAGAGACAGCAAAAGCUCGGCCUAUCGAUCCUCUUCGUUUAAUGAGUUUUUAGCAAGAGGUGUCAGAAAAGUUACCAUAGGGAUAACUGGCUUGUGGCGGCCAAGCGUUCAUAGCGACGUCGCUUUUUGAUCCUUCGAUGUCGGCUCUUCCUAUCAUUGUGAAGCAAAAUUCACCAAGCGUUGGAUUGUUCACCCAUUCAAGGGAACGUGAGCUGGGUUUAGACCGUCGUGAGACAGGUUAGUUUUACCCUACUAAUGACAAAACGUUAUUGCGACAGCAUUCCUGCGUAGUACGAGAGGAACCGCAGGUACGGACCUAUGGCACAAUACUUGUUCGAGCGAACAGUGGUAUGACGCUACGUCCGUUGGAUUAUGCCUGAACGCCUCUAAGGUCGUAUCCGUGCUGGACUGCAAUAAUAAUAAUGGGGCAAUUGCAUUGCAUGGCUUCAAACCAUUUAAAGUUUGUAUAAAACGACAAUGGUAUAUUUGAUGCCAAUGUUAUAUGUAACAUAGCAAGUGUGGAAGGAUUUUAUCAUCUGCACGACGCGCUAGUUAUAUAUUAAAACAUUAAUAAAUACAAUAGCAAUGCCUAGAAUCAAUUGUAAACGACUUUGGUAACGGGCAAGGUGUUGUAAGUGGUAGAGCAGCUGCCU